GACGAAUGCUGGCGGCAGGCUUAACACAUGCAAGUCGAACGCCCCGCAAGGGGAGUGGCAGACGGGUGAGUAACACGUGGGAACGUACCCUUUGGUUCGGAAUAACUUGGGGAAACUGGGUCUAAUACCGGAUAGGACCACUGCCUGCAUGGGUGGUGGUGGAAAGCUUUUGCGGUGUGGGAUGGCCCGCGGCCUAUCAGCUUGUUGGUGGGGUGAUGGCCUACCAAGGCGACGACGGGUAGCCGGCUUGAGAGGGUGACCGGCCACACUGGGACUGAGAUACGGCCCAGACUCCUACGGGAGGCAGCAGUGGGGAAUAUUGCACAAUGGGCGCAAGCCUGAUGCAGCGACGCCGCGUGAGGGAUGACGGCCUUCGGGUUGUAAACCUCUUUCAGCACCGACGAAGCGCAAGUGACGGUAGGUGCAGAAGAAGGACCGGCCAACUACGUGCCAGCAGCCGCCGUAA
rnacentral:rRNA from 1 species